rnacentral:sRNA from 1 species
GCUGGGUGCAGUGGUGCACACCUGUAAUCCUAGCAACUCGGGAGGCUGAGACAGGAGGGCAAGAGGACCACAAGUUCAAGGCCAAUCUUGGCAACUUAGUGAGAUCCUGUCUUGA